GACGAAGGGGGCUAGCGUUGUUCGGAAUUACUGGGCGUAAAGCGCGUGUAGGCGGUUAUCCAAGUCAGGUGUGAAAGCCUUGAGCUCAACUCAAGAAAUGCACUUGGUACUGGGUGACUAGAGGACCGGAGAGGAUAGUGGAAUUCCCAGUGUAGUGGUGAAAUACGUAGAGAUUGGGAAGAACACCAGUGGCGAAGGCGGCUAUCUGGACGGUUUCUGACGCUAAGACGCGAAAGCGUGGGGAGCAAACAGG
rnacentral:rRNA from 1 species